rnacentral:rRNA from 1 species
AAUCAACGCUGGCGGCGUGCCUAACACAUGCAAGUCGCACGAGAAAGUGGAGCAAUCCAUGGGUAAAGUGGCGCACGGGUGAGUAACACGUGACUAACCUACCCUAGAGUGGGGGAUAACCUCGGGAAACCGGGGCUAAUACCGCAUAACCUCGUGAGGUGAAAUUCCUUGCGAGCAAAGCCGAAAGGCGCUUUUGGAGGGGGUCGCGGCUGAUUAGCUAGUUGGCGGGGUAACGGCCCACCAAGGCGAUGAUCAGUAUCCGGCCUGAGAGGGCGAACGGACACACUGGAACUGAAACACGGUCCAGACUCCUACGGGAGGCAGCAGUGGGGAAUUUUGCGCAAUGGGGGAAACCCUGACGCAGCAACGCCGCGUGGAGGAUGAAGUCCCUUGGGACGUAAACUCCUUUCGACCCGGACGAAUAAUGACGGUACGGGUGGAAGAAGCCCCGGCUAACUUCGUGCCAGCCGCCGCGGUAACAC